CUAUUUUAUGUGUGGAUUUUUUUUUCUCUUGAGAAUUACACCCUUGAGAAAUUAAUCAAAGAUGCAUGCAUGAUUGUUGAGCACAUUAAAUAUUCUUUGCACCCUUUAAUUGCAUUAAAUAAUUAAACAAUUAAAUCGCAAAUCGAUAGACAUGAUUUAUUGUGGAUCAUUCGAUCAGUCAUUAAUAUCCCCAUACACGUUCUAGUCAAUUCAGCGUCAUCGGGAUCUCCAUAACACACACUUACACAUCGUAAAACUUGCAGAAAAAACCCUAAAAAUAUAUAAAAUAAAGAACAACAACUCCUCCUGUAUUUAUAAUGGAUUUAAACUAGAAAUGAGACAAAAGGAUGAUAUAAAUAUAAGACGUAGAUCUAAAACAAAUAUGUGUCUGUAUGCUCAGUAAAAAUGGGUGUUACAGCCCAGAGUUUCUUUCUACCGAGACAGCGAGGGCGGUUAAUGAAAGUUGGAUCGAAGCAAGGAACGACGUUAUCCAAAUUCUGUGGCGGUAGCGAUGAAUUUUGCAUAAUCGGUAAGAGUUGAGAGAGAUCUAAUAAAUUCAUUUGAUUUCGCAGCUUCCUAUUGGAUUUGAUUUUGUUGGAGUCUCUGAGCUUUGCCAGAGCUCCUGGCUUGAGGUACCUUCGUGGGGAUAAGGACAAGGACGACGAUAAAGGUUUAGGGCUUCCUUUCAUUGUCAUGGCGUGAGAUAGUGAGAGAGAGAGAGAGAGGGAGGUGUUUGUGUGUGAGAGAAAGAAGGGUAUUUAAAAAGAGAGAGUUUGUGUAUGGUGGUCGGUAGCGGCAAGUAACGGUUCGUUUCGGCGGAGACAGGAAAGAUAUCAAUAUUAAUUUUACACCCGGAGGAAAUCUAGGGUUAACUAGUUGUAUUUCUCA
rnacentral:lncRNA from 1 species